GGCAAUAGUUUGUUGGGCAAUAGCCGUCUAAUUUCCGAAUCUAUUUUUCGAAGGCUAUGGCGAACAACAGCAAUAACAACCCGACGCCGCUGUACCGGUCGUAUGGCCUGAAGAAAAUCCUCACGAACCACACGCGCGCCGUCUCUUGCGUGAAGUUUUCCAAAAAUGGCAAGCUAUUCGCCUCUGCGUCUCUCGACAAACCCUCAUCGUCUGGUCCUCGGAAACCUUAACCAAAUUAUUCAGUUUGAUUGGGCAUUCUGAUGGAGUCUCGGACCUGGUGUGGUCUGUUGGAAAAAAUGGU
rnacentral:lncRNA from 1 species